rnacentral:tRNA from 1 species
ACCAAUCGGUUAAAAGCCGAUUACUCUUCCAUUAAGCUAGUAUUCCGUUAUAUAAUAAUAUAUUAAUUAUAUUA